rnacentral:rRNA from 1 species
GUAGGGUGCGAGCGUUAAUCGGAAUUACUGGGCGUAAAGCGUGCGCAGGCGGUUUUGUAAGACAGAGGUGAAAUCCCCGGGCUCAACCUGGGAACUGCCUUUGUGACUGCAAGGCUAGAGUACGGCAGAGGGGGAUGGAAUUCCGCGUGUAGCAGUGAAAUGCGUAGAUAUGCGGAGGAACACCGAUGGCGAAGGCAAUCCCCUGGGCCUGUACUGACGCUCAUGCACGAAAGCGUGGGGAGCAAAC